CUCGAAGUAGCUCAGUGGAAGAGCAGUGGACUGUAAAUCCAUUGGUCGGGUGUUCGAUCCACCCCUUCGAGA
rnacentral:tRNA from 1 species